GAUGAACGCUAGCUACAGGCUUAACACAUGCAAGUCGAGGGGCAGCAUGAACUUAGCUUGCUAAGUUUGAUGGCGACCGGCGCACGGGUGCGUAACGCGUAUCCAACCUUCCCGUUACUCAGGUAUAGCCUUGCGAAAGUAAGAUUAAUCCCUGAUGACAUGCAUUUCCGGCAUCGGAGAUGCAUUAAAGAUUUUAUCGGUGACGGAUGAGGAUGCGUACGAUUAGCUUGUUGGCGGGGUAACGGCCCACCAAGGCUACGAUCGUUAGGGGUUCUGAGAGGAAGGUCCCCCCACACUGGAACUGAGACACGGUCCAGACUCCUACGGGAGGCAGCAGUGAGGAAUAUUGGGUCAAUGGGCGAGAGCCUGAACCAGCCAAGUAGCGUGAAGGAUGACUGCCCUACGGGUUGUAAACUUCUUUUGUUUGGGAAUAAAGACGNUACGUGUAGCGUUGUGCAUGUACCCUACGAAUAAGCAUCGGCUAACUCCGUGCCAG
rnacentral:rRNA from 1 species